rnacentral:sRNA from 10 species
CAUGGUGUGAGGAGUGCUGAAUGCCUCUUCAGGGUCGAAACAAGGACAGACUCCUGAACGCGUUCCACU